rnacentral:lncRNA from 1 species
AUUUUUAGUUUGAUUGAAGUAAAAAUUAGUGAUAAAAAUUUAGAGUUAGAAUUUUAUACACCAAUCAAUUUUUGAAGAAAUUGAAUUGUUCAACAAGAAGAAAUUUAUAUUAGAAUAUCGACAUCCAAGUUGGAGAAGGAAGGAAGCCAACAUCUAAGUGGUUUAAGAGCUUUUUAUUUUGAAUUGGUAAAUUGAUAUCCUU